ACCUUCGGGCCUCUUGCCAUCGGAUGUGCCCAGAUGGGAUUAGCUAGUAGGUGGGGUAACGGCUCACCUAGGCGACGAUCCCUAGCUGGUCUGAGAGGAUGACCAGCCACACUGGAACUGAGACACGGUCCAGACUCCUACGGGAGGCAGCAGUGGGGAAUAUUGCACAAUGGGCGCAAGCCUGAUGCAGCCAUGCCGCGUGUAUGAAGAAGGCCUUCGGGUUGUAAAGUACUUUCAGCGGGGAGGAAGGGAGUAAAGUUAAUACCUUUGCUCAUUGACGUUACCCGCAGAAGAAGCACCGGCUAACUCCGUGCCAGCAGCCGCGGUAAUACGGAGGGUGCAAGCGUUAAUCGGAAUUACUGGGCGUAAAGCGCACGCAGGCGGUUUGUUAAGUCAGAUGUGAAAUCCCCGGGCUCAACCUGGGAACUGCAUCUGAUACUGGCAAGCUUGAGUCUCGUAGAGGGGGGUAGAAUUCCAGGUGUAGCGGUGAAAUGCGUAGAGAUCUGGAGGAAUACCGGUGGCGAAGGCGGCCCC
rnacentral:rRNA from 1 species